GGAUUUUAGUAGCUUGAGUUCCAAUGCUUCAGAUGGAGAGUUGUUUUCCCCUACUCCCUUUCUGGGCCUUUAGAAAAAAACUUCAUAAACUCACUCCCAGGUUCCCCGGGCUGGUGAGCGGGUAUGGGUGGCGGGGAGCACGUGGGUUCUUCAGUGGUGGGCUGAGGGUCUUCCCCACGCCCCCCCCCAACCCUCCCACCUGCGUCCCAGACAAGCUCCGCUCCCACCCCCGCCUUCAGUGGGCCGACCUGGCUCCCCCUCCGCUAGGCUCAGUGGACAAACCCGUAUCCUGGACCCGCCCCUGUUCAGUAUCCGCGGCGCCCUACGCUCGCCAGAUUGUGCCACCGGGCGGGGAGAAAGGGGUGCACUUCUGUACGCAGGGUGCGGAGCCGGCCGUUUUGGAGACCGCAGCUCGGCGGAGCGUUGUGGAGAGCUGUUUGGUUUCCUCCGCACCUCGGUCACGGGGCUACCGCGCUGGAGCCUGCGGCGACCUGAGCGAGUGCUGCGAGCAGCAGCGCGCUGUCUCCCCCUCGGUGGGAGCGGUGGUUGGGCCCGGCUGCGGCAGAGCGUUCGCUCGGAGAUGGCGGAGCCGCCGCGACGCGGCCCGAGGCCCCGAGAGCAGGGAACCCGGGCAGCCCCGGGACGCGGCGGAGCCCGGGGACAGCGGGGACGCCGCCCACUCCGCCGGGUGAGCCGCCCUUGAGGAGAGCAAACACCCCCCCACCCCCACCACCCCCGGCUCAGGAUGACUCCGCUUGCAGUUCCUCUCCUUGCAGACUUCCCGUAUGAAGCUAAAAUCCUUAACAGCAUGGGCUCUGGAGCUUGACAGACCUGACUUUGAAUCCGUUCCUCUACUGACUGAGCUGUGUGUUCCUGGCAAGUUACCAAACUUCUCUGAGCCUCAAGUUACUCAUGGGUAAAAUGGGAAUAUUAGUACCGACUUCAUUCCUAUCUCUUAGGGCUGGUGUGAGAAUUAAAUACAGAUGCUCCUCGAUUUCUGAUGGGGUCGCAUCCUGAUAAAUCCCUCAUAAACUGAAGACAUGCUAAAUGAAGAAUGCAUGUAAUACACCUAGCAUAUAAAGCAUGAUAAUUUAGCAACAUAGUACACUGUAGAGUGUCAGUUGAACCUGAUCAUGUGACUGACUGGGAGCCACCACUGCCUCAUAAGAAAUUCUGCCAGACUAGGAAAAGAACAAAAUUCAAAAUUUGAGAGAAUGGGGUGAUAACUCCAGGGUAGAGCACUUGCAUAGCAUGUACGAGGCCCUGAGUUCAAGCCCCAGCACCAAAACACAAAACAAUUUGAAUGCUUAUCAUUUGUGUACCAUUGUAAACUGAACCAUCCCAGGUCAGGAGUCAUCUGUAUAUGUAAAACUCUUGGAAGAAUGUUUGAUAGAUGCUAUACUAAGCUCUCAAUAAAUAUUAAUUAUUAACAUGGGUGAUAUACCCAAAGUGUCAACUUGCUUUCAGUGACUUUUCAUUACUGUGUUUUCCCCUUAAGUUUCCUCUAAUUGUUAGGAGUCACCUCUUCCCAUCAUCUUUCGCUCUCUCUCUUUCUUUCUUCCUCUCUCUCUCCCUCCCUCCCUCUUCCCAUCAUCUGUCUUUCUUUCCUUUCUUUUGUUCCUUUCUUUUUUUGUUUGGUUCUAGAGAUUGAACUCAGCCUCACACAUGCUAACCAUGUGCUGGGCCACUGAGCUACAACUCCAGGCCCUGUCACAAUUUUCAUUCUCUCCCAACUCUUCUCAUGUCAAUCAGUUUUACCCAGGCCAAAGUUGAAUGCUUCUUAAAUCAGCUCAAUUCUGAAGGACCCUGUCUCUGCCUAACCACUGCUGAAAUGUGUAUACAGGGGUGGGUGGUAGAGAGGAAUUGCCAGUGUUAGUAGGAGUGGUGAAGGUAAAAAGAGUGCCAGAAGCAAUGUGUUUAAGAAAAAAAAAAACUCAAGUAGGUGUCCUUAAAACCUUUCUGAUCAUAGUACCCUUACUCUUUCUCUUUAGUCGGAUAUGACUUAAGUUUCUGUUGCCCUCUGUCAUCAUCCACCAUUCAAUUCACUGUUUUUUGUAUCAACUCAGUCCCUCAUGUCUUUCCAGACUAGCUCAGGAGCCCUCCGGAGUAUUCAAGAAUGGGGAUAUAGUACCUACAUUAGGAAGGAGAACUAGAGUGAAUAAGGAGAGGACUUUCUGGCUUUUCACAAGUCCUAGUGACGUGGCCUGCUCUGGGGCUACAUUUUUAUCUUCUUUCUUGACUCUGGCACAAGUGAGGUGAAGAGCAAGUGGUAGGUAGUUUUUUGACAAACAAUGAAAAAGAGUCUCCAAGUUUUGGGUUCAUGAGCUAAUAGAAUGGGGCAGGCACAGUGGCUGACACCUGUAGUCAACAGUAUUCAGGAGAUGGAGAUCAAGAGGAUCACAAUUCAAGGCCAGCCAGGGCAAAAAGUUGGUGAGACUGCAU